GAUGAACGCUGGCGGCGUGCUUAACACAUGCAAGUCGAACGGAAAGGCUCCUGCUUGCCGGGGUUCUCGAGUGGCGAACGGGUGAGUAACACGUGGGUGUUCUGCCCUUCACUUCGGGAUAAGCCUGGGAAACUGGGUCUAUUACCGGAUAGGACGAUGGUUUGGAUGCCAUUGUGGAAAGUUUUUUCGGUGUGGGAUGGGUUCGCGGGCUAUCAGCUUUUUGGUGGGGUAUUGGUCUACCAAGGCGUCGACGGGUAGCCGGCAUGUGAGGGUGUACGGCCACAAUGGGACUAAGAGACGGCGCAGACGCGAACGGGAGGCAGCAGGGGGGAAGAUUGCACAAUGGGCGCAAGCCUGAGGCAGAGACGCCGCGUGGGGGAUGACGGCCUACGGGGUGAAAACACCUUUCGAUAGGGACGAAGCGCAAGUGACGGUACCUGGAGAAGAAGCACCGGCUAACUACGUG
rnacentral:rRNA from 1 species